rnacentral:lncRNA from 1 species
CAUGAAGGGGCCCAGAGGUGUGAAUUGGAGGAAGGAAGGAGAAGCUAUGGUGAAGAUGGUUUGAGCUUUUUGGUACAUCAGGGCAUGCCAGCACUCCAGAAAGAAAGGUUGUCAGGACCUAUAAAAUGAAGAAAAAGAAAAGCAAACGAGACUGGGGACAUGUCUAAACCUCCUCCAGUGGCAUUGUCCCCCUGCUCAUCAGGGUAUAGGACUCCACGCCACCACCAACAACAAAGAAACACGUCUGCUCUUGGCCUGCUCUGCAGGAUAACGUUCGCGGGGGCUGCAGUCGGCGCUGCCCAGGGGAGGCUGGAGGCGGUCAGCGUUUGGUGCCCUGUAACACCAUCCGAUCACGUCCACGUCUUAAAGAUAGACUUUGUUCAAAUCGCCCUGGGCCUGUGUGUUCUUUUCUUUAAAGAAUCACAAUACAGUUACUGUUUUAUAGAACAGGGAGCCCGGAAUUUAUCCUGAGGUGGAAUGUCACUGGUUUAUGUAUGUGCUUGCUCUCACUUUUCUCUGUACCCUUAUAUUCUGUUUAGAAAGGCUAGUUCUUUUUUAUUUUAUUUUAUUUUAUUUUCUGCUCCUUUUCAAGCUCUGUUUAAUCAUUGUUUAUGAUUUUGAUAGUUCUCUUCUGGCACCUCUGAGUUCUUUACAACUUAAUUAUCAUGUCUAUCACUGUAAUGAAUAAAAUGAUUACUUAUUUCUCCAAGUCUUUCAUACUAUUUACUGAUCCAAAUUGAAAAGCCAACCGUGGUGAAUGUAGGCUUGCAUUUAGCAUUAAGUUUGGAGCUAUUAUGACUAGAGAUCUUGCAGAGAGAGAGAGAGAGAGAGAGAGAGAGAGAGAGAGGUAUGAACCCUGGAAGAGGGAGAGAGAGAGAGACAGAGAGAGAGAGAGAGAGAGAGAAAUAAUCCCUGUCCACACUCUCUAAUGGCUGUUCACUUAUACUCUCAAAUUUUACUGCCAAUAGCCAUAGGGCUCUGCCAGGUCUAAAGAUCUAUCUCUGGAAAUAAUGGAACUGUAACUCAGCUUUUUAUUUACAAAAGAAUUUAUUAAAAGUAACAGAAUUCAUGUUAUGUAUGGAACAAAAUGUGGUUACUUAAAACAUUAACCUACAUAUGUGUGUAAAUUUGAUUCUGUGAAGUUCUGAUAUUUAUUUCCAAUUCAUGACUCCCACAUCUGCUUUAUGCCUUAUCAUCCAUGAACUGGGAUUAAAACAAACAAACAACAACCACCAAAACAAAAAACAAAACAAGCAAAAAAACAGACAACUUUCACAUAAGGGAAGAGGAUGGCUUUGUUCUUUCUCAUCCAGAUCUUCUUUGUUUAUUUAGGAUCUGUUCAUCUUCUAAAUUCUUUACUUGGUUUUUGUUCUUUGCUCAUGUCUACUGAGUUCUGUAUUUUGUUUAAGUUUCACUUAAAAUAGAUAAAUAUUUUUCUGAUAAGAAGUAUAAUGUGGUUAUAAGCAUAGACUAUUUGCAGUCAAAUGCUGGCUCUGUGAUUUUGGUAAAUUUACUUCACUUUUCCACAUUUCAGCUUCUUAAUCUAUAAAAUGGGAUAGAAAUCAUCCCUAACACUCAGGGUUAGUGAAAGGAUUAAUUGGGCUCUUGUAUUUCUAGCACUUAGAAUUGCACAUGGCCAUAGAUACCUCUAUUUUGAUAACAGCUGUUAUUAUUCAACUAUAUUACUCUGCAAAAUAUCUGGUUUCUUCUUCUAUCCCCAGAGCCUGAAGUUAUUUGUCUCUUUCUUACGCAAGUACGACACUCUGCUUUUUUGUUCUGGCCUAAAGAAAAGCCUGCCCCAUUUAUAGCAAUGAAAGGAGAUGUGUACUUAUUUCUUUUUGUAGGGAAGAUGCAGGUUCAAAUUUUGGUUCGAGGUGAACUCCCUCUUCCUAAGGAUGAAAGACAUUGUGUUUCUUCCUAUAAAUUACUCAUAAAUGUUUUCCCAGUUGUUGUAGGCUUGCCCUGUUCCUUUGAGGAAGGUUAUGCUAAAAUAAAACAAUUUGUAUUUGUGCAAAUAUCUUUUUUAAAAUAUUCAAUUCUCUGAGAACUUUCCUUCUUUGUCUUUUAAGACACAAAUAUGAUUCUUGUAUCAGAUUUAGUGUCACAGAAAAUAUGAAGAGAAUGUUCUUUCACUUAAAUUGCUAUUUUAGAAAAACAGUUUUAAAAAUAUCAGGCUGAGAACUCAACUGUGCCGAACUUCCACAAUAGUAAUCACUCCUACCAAUCACCUCUCAGAAAUAGUAUACAUUGUGUAAUGUGCAUAAUCUAAGGAAGUGUCAUUCGUAUACUGGUAGUGUCAAGCAUCUCAAGAUUGAUGUUACCGCUGACAAGACAUCUAACAACCUUUGAUUUCAUUGUGCCCACAAAACUUAAAAGAAGAGAAAUAGAUUUAUCAGAAGGAAAUCAAUUCACCAGAAAAUAUGAAUUAAUUUUUUACAAAUAAUAUAUAUUUUUA